CAGCUAUAUAAGGGAAACAUCUGAUUACACCAUACCCAGUAAAAACUUUGCCAGAAAACAGACACCAAGGGCUGAAAAACAGGAAGAUGGGAGACCACAUGCCAGAAACAGAUCUAAAUUUCCCCAGGGUGGAAAAAAGAGAUAUUGAAAAAAAUCAGGAUCAUGUCAGACCACGUGAUCAAGAACGUAGAACAUCUGAAGACUGACAAACAUUUACAGUCAGAUUAGAUCCAGCCCAUAAUAAGGAAGGAAGGAAGGAAGAAAGAAAAAUCUUUAGCAGAUGAUGAAAAUUCAGCUUUGCAGUGAAGCAAGUGUUAUAAAUUAACUAAGCAGAGAAAAGAGUGGUAGUACCUGGGAUUUAAUAGUUCCCAGCUCUAGCACUCUUGGGGAUCCUUUCAGAGGUCUGGACUUCGAACAGAUACCACACACUGCAGCAAACAGCAGCCGAGACUACUGCAAAUUCUGACGGCUCGUGCUAAACUACUGUGCGCUACAAUAAACUGGAAAUCAACACAUCCU